GCGGGAGUGGUGGAAUUGGUAGACACGCAGGAUUUAGGUUCCUGUGCUCCGGCAUGAGGGUUCGAGUCCCUCCUUCCGCACCG
rnacentral:tRNA from 1 species